CCUACGGGGGGCAGCAGUGGGGAAUAUUGGACAAUGGGGGGAACCCUGAUCCAGCCAUGCCGCGUGUGUGAAGAAGGCCCUCGGGUUGUAAAGCACUUUCAGUGAGGAAGAACGCCUGGUGGUUAAUACCCAUCAGGAAAGACAUCACUCACAGAAGAAGCACCGGCUAACUCCGUGCCAGCAGCCGCGGUAAUACGGAGGGUGCGAGCGUUAAUCGGAAUUACUGGGCGUAAAGCGCGCGUAGGUGGCUUGAUAAGCCGGUUGUGAAAGCCCCGGGCUCAACCUGGGAACGGCAUCCGGCACUGUGGAGAUAGAGUGCAGGAGAGGAAGGUAGAAUUCCCGGUGUAGCGGUGAGAUGCGUAGAGAUCGGGAGGAAUACCAGUGACGAAGGCGGCCUUAUGGACUGACACUGACACUGAGGUGCGAAAGCGUGGGUAGCAAACAGGAUUAGAUACCCGAGUAGUC
rnacentral:rRNA from 1 species